GGAAGGAUCAUUAUUGAAUUAUGGGUCUAGACGGGUUGUAGCUGGCUCUCCCGAGCAUGUGCACGCCUGUCUGGAUUUCAUCUUCAUCCACCUGUGCACCUAUUGUAGUCUUUGGUCUUGGGUUUUCGAGAAAGUGGUCAGGAUUUAUCAGCAUCUGCUGGAUGUGAGGACUUGCAGUGGCGAAAGCUUUGCUGUCCUUGACUUGGCUGCGGACUCGUUUGCUCGCCGGAGUCUAUGUUAUUCAUUAUACCCUAUUGUAUGUCUCUGAAUGUCUUUACAUGGGCUUUCAUGCCUAUGAAAAUUACAAUACAACUUUCAGCAACGGAUCUCUUGGCUCUCGCAUCGAUGAAGAACGCAGCGAAAUGCGAUAAGUAAUGUGAAUUGCAGAAUUCAGUGAAUCAUCGAAUCUUUGAACGCACCUUGCGCUCCUUGGUAUUCCGAGGAGCAUGCCUGUUUGAGUGUCAUUAAAUUCUCAACUCUCUUGUGCUGUUUUGUACAGGAGGGCUUGGAUUGUGGAGGCUUGCUGGCCGCUCGUUUGAGGUCAGCUCCUCUGAAAUGCAUUAGCGGAAACCGUUUGCGAUCUGCCACAAGUGUGAUAAACUAUCUACACUGGCUAGGGGGAUUGCUCUCUGGGUUAUUCUGCUUCUAACUGUUUCAAUUCAAUGAAACAACGUCUUGAAUGCUUGACCUCAAAUCAGGUAGGACUACCCGCUGAACUUAA
rnacentral:rRNA from 1 species